UUUACAUCUCUCAUUCUCUACAGAUUCUUUACAUCUUUCCAUCACUGUUGCAGUUCUUGGGUGUUUUGUGAUAACGUCUGGGCUGGCUUUUUUUGCUCCUGUGUGUGUGUGUUCUGGUAGUCGUGUCUGGAGGUUUGUCACCAUGGCUUUGUCAUGAGCUCAGUGUGUCCCCCAGCUCUGACUGCUGCAUCCCUGCACCAUCUGCAGAGGCAGUGCUGGCCCUGUGCAG